rnacentral:rRNA from 1 species
GACAGUGUCUGGUGGGUAGUUUGACUGGGGCGGUCUCCUCCCAAAGAGUAACGGAGGAGCACGAAGGUUGGCUAAUCCUGGUCGGACAUCAGGAGGUUAGUGCAAUGGCAUAAGCCAGCUUGACUGCGAGCGUGACGGCGCGAGCAGGUGCGAAAGCAGGUCAUAGUGAUCCGGUGGUUCUGAAUGGAAGGGCCAUCGCUCAACGGAUAAAAGGUACUCCGGGGAUAACAGGCUGAUACCGCCCAAGAGUUCAUAUCGACGGCGGUGUUUGGCACCUCGAUGUCGGCUCAUCACAUCCUGGGGCUGAAGUAGGUCCCAAGGGUAUGGCUGUUCGCCAUUUAAAGUGGUACGCGAGCUGGGUUUAGAACGUCGUGAGACAGUUCGGUCCCUAUCUGCCGUGGGCGCUGGAAGAUUGAGGGGGGCUGCUCCUAGUACGAGAGGACCGGAGUGGACGCAUCACUGGUGUUCGGGUUGUCAUGCCAAUGGCACUGCCCGGUAGCUAAAUGCGGAAGAGAUAAGUGCUGAAAGCAUCUAAGCACGAAACUUGCCCCG